AAAUAUUCUUAUUGUAUGAUAUUUUAUUAUAUGUACUAACAAGUUGAACAUACUGCUUUCCGUCUUUCAAACUAUGCAUAGAAUGCAGGUAACAUGAUUGCUCUUGGACUACCUAAUAAAGGAGGAUUCAUUCAUUUCUUCGCAACCUGAAAAGUUUGUGCAGAUUUAAUUUCUUAGUUUAUAUUAUUUAAUAACUUAGUCUAUAUAUUUAGGCUUGAAAGGGUUAGAUUUUUAUCAAUAAAUAUUGAUUUCACCAUAUACAGACGGGCAAAAAAAUAUUUCCAUUGAUAACUAAAGUU